rnacentral:misc_RNA from 1 species
UUUAUUCAAUGGAACAGGAUCUAGUAACAGUUUAUACAACCAAACUUAUACAAAAUUUUAAGAUGAAAAGCACACUUAAAAAAUACAAAUGUCAUUUUACAUGCCAAUGUGGCUGAUGAAUCUCAAUUACACAUCAAAUAAAAUAUAUCGCCAACAUUUAUGAAGAAUAACAUAUAUUCUAUAGUUCUUCAUAGAAUGGAUAUUCAUAUCAAUUAUCAUAUUUUUAAAAAAGGAAGGAAGAUAAUUGACAGUAAAAAAGAACUCAGUUUAAAAUUAAAGCUUAAUUAAGCUUGAUUAAUCAUUGAACUACCAUUACGUAACUGUAUAUACAUAAACACACAUGUAGAGGACACUGACCUUCCUUCAUAAACCUUUCCAUGGGCUCCCUCGCCAAUUUUGGAGCCGACAAACAAUAAUUUGGGGUCAACGAGCAGACUUUCAUCAAUCGACAGUUGAGGCGCCGUUAUAGAACCAUUUUGAGUGACUGCCGCCGGUUCUACCUCGACGGAACUCCGUAAAACAGGCUGCUGCUGCUCAUUUUCUGCUUCUCGUCCUCUGUUCUUGUCACUGCAGCCGCUGCCGCCGCCGCCGCCACUCAUGUUGCAAACUUAGCAGCCUCAAAUUAUUCCCGAAUUCCUCAUUUCUUUCCAGUCUCUUCCUCUUUUAUUAUCUCUCUAUAUUUCCACAAUCAAAAUCAUAAUCCUAAAUUCCGCAAGGUGAACUAAUAAUCAGCAUUUACUCAUCAGACCAAAAAAUUGAUUCGUUUUGAUAUAGAGCUUUGCUUUCGCUAUAAAUUUCUGGCUGAUUAAUCCAGACUAUAAUUGAAAAAUGAAGUCGGUUUCCUUCUCUUAUUUUUUCAGGACUUGUCAGAAUUUCGCUUAAGCUGGAAGCCUCCUCUUGCGUGAAGUUUAUAGAAAAGGAAACCCAAAAACCCAAGGAUAGCUCCUUUCGUCUCUUCCUUUUCUUUAUUCUUUUGGCGCCGUCCGAGAGGUAAAGAGGCGUUCCGAUGAAGAUAUUCCGAGAAUCUGUUCCGACGAGGUAUUAAAGUCGGAGAUAGAGAAAAAAAGAAGAAAAGGCGAGGAAAAGAUAGGAAAAGGAGGAGGAGAGGGAGUGGUGUUAGGAAGAAAUGUGAAGGGCCAAUGAGAAAAUGGCACGUGGAGAGAAGAGAAUGAGGCCUUUGGAGUUCCAUGGCAUCAGCGAUUUGGUCGUGGAGGGAUUGGUUGGAUGGAGCACUUACGCAGUGACAACGGCUGCGGCUCGGCUCUCUCUUUUCUUUCUGCCUCUCUU